UACGUAGGGGGCAAGCGUUGUCCGGAUUCAUUGGGCGUAAAGAGCGUGUAGGCGGCCAGGUAGGUCGGUUGUGAAAACUGGAGGCUCAACCUUCAGAGGUCGACCGAAACCAUCUGGCUAGAGUCCGGGAGAGGCGAGUGGAAUUCCUGGUGUAGCGGUGAAAUGCGCAGAUAUCAGGAGGAACACCUAUUGCGAAGGCAGCUCGCUGGGACGUAACUGACGCUGAGACGCGAAAGCGUGGGGAGCAAACAGG
rnacentral:rRNA from 1 species